GAUCAUGGCUCAGGAUUAACGCUGGCGGCGUGCCUAACACAUGCAAGUCGAGCGGCAGCGAGUUUUACACUGAAUUCUGGAAGCUUCUGGUUUAAAGAGAAGAUUUAUUCAAGAGUUUUGUGUAAAAUGUCGGCGAGCGGCGGACGGCUGAGUAACGCGUGGGAACGUACCCCAAAGUGAGGGAUAACGCAUCGAAAGGUGUGCUAAUACCGCAUAUGGUCUUUGGAUUAAAGCCUUCGGGCGCUUUGGAACGG
rnacentral:rRNA from 1 species